rnacentral:rRNA from 1 species
AUUGAACGCUGGCGGCAGGCCUAACACAUGCAAGUCGAACGAGUGGCGGACGUGUGUAUACUGUCUGGGAAAUUGCCUAAUGGGGGGGGAUAACUACUGGAAACGUUAGCUAAUCCCGCAUACCAUCGGAUUUGCCCAGAUGGGAUUAGCUUGUGGGUGGGGUAACGGGUCACCUAGGCGACGAUCCCUAGCUGGUCUGAGAGGAUGACCAGCAAAACGGGAACUGAGACAAGGUCCAGACGCCUACGGGAGGAGGCAGUGGGGAAUAUUGCACAAUGGGCGCAAGCCUGACGAGGCAAGGCCGCGUGGAUGAAGAAGGCUUUCGGGUUUUAAAGUACUUUCAGCGGGGAGGCGUUACCUGCAGAAGAAGGACCGGCUAACUCCGUGCCAGCCGCCGCGGUAAUUC